rnacentral:lncRNA from 1 species
AAAAAAAAAAUGAGGAGAGCAUUAACAAAAAAUAAAAAAAGUUAGAGCAUCAAAAUCACACAACACAGAACCGAGAAGCACACUCACACUAAAAAAAGGAAACAAACAAAUACAUAAAAAAGUUUCUCCAACCUCCCGUAGACACACAAAACCCGUGAGAGGAAGAGAGAAACUAAUUCACCCUUCUCUCCUGGCCACCUGUGACUUCUUCUUCUCCGCCAACAGUGGCUUGUUCACAGACCAGCACAGCCACCAUGAUCUCAGCCGUGAAAAGCAUCUUCUUACAACAACUGUUUGAGGGAGCAACAUCAGUGUAGCGUUGCAGUCGCCUCUCUCAGCAGUGCAGCAACUGACAUCUUCCUAAGCUGUUCGUGGUUUUUAUUAAAUCAUCAUAGAAGAGCAGCUCUGCACCAGCACAACCCUUGUAACUUCAUCUUCACUGCACAACAUUAGCAACAUCUCGGUCUUUAUUAGCUCCCUGCAAACACCUGUUCUUUGUUCAGAAACAGCAGCUGUUUCCUCCUCAUCAGUUCAACAGCAGUGACCGACAUCCUCUUUCAGCUCCUUCUUCAGCAUCAAGCAGCCUCCCAGUCCAUUGAAGCAUUAAAGAAAGAGCCAACAAGCUGAAACAACGGCUUUUCUCUUCUGAACACAGCAGCGCAGCAACAUCAGCUUGCUCCAGCAGUGUCGCAGUCGUUAGCAAAGCAGGGUGCAUCACUUCUGAGCAGCACUUCCAGCCGCUAACUUAUUCUUCGUCCAGCAGCGCAGCUUCACUCCAGCAUCACCGUGGCAGAUGUCAACACUCCAGCUUCUGUGAGGUAAACUCUUAAUAAAUUGUAGGUAUCUUUUUACGUACUAUAUAUUUGUUGCUUCGGGUUUGCCAAAGGAAGGGAAGGUACUGCCUUCAUAAUGCAUUUUGUUGGUGAGAAAAACGAAGGGAAAAGGAAGCAUGUUGUUUUGUACCUAAAUGAGACAGCAAUGGUGACUUUUUCUUUGGAUUGCAUGGCAUGAAAUAUUGGUGAAAUGCUUCAUUUUGAUCUUCUAAGCCGAAAGAGAGCACCUAUUAUUGUUUAUGGGCCAGUUUAUUAUUUUAUUUUGGGCUAUGUUGCUGCCGGUCCAAAAAGACCAGGCCAAGACUAGACCUAAGCCCAGGCCAUAUGGCUGAUCUGAGCCCAUUCUAGAAAUAAGAGCAUGUGUGUC